ACUCCUACGGGUGGCUGCAGUGAGGAAUAUUGCACAAUGGGGGAAACCCUGAUGCAGCAACGCCGCGUGGAGGAUGACGGCCUUAUAGGUUGUAAACUCCUUUUCUGAGGGAAGAGAAAGGACGGUACCUCAGGAAUAAGUCACGGCUAACUACGUGCCAGCAGCCGCGGUAAUACGUAGGUGACGAACGUUAUCCGGAAUUACUGGGCGUAAAGGGCACGCAGGCGGUUGGUCAAGUCCGACGUGAAAUUUCUCGGCUUAACUGGGAGGCGUCGUUUGGAAACUAACUAACUUGAGGCAAUGAGAGGGGUGUAGAAUUCAUGGUGUAGUGGUGGAAUGCGUAGAUAUCAUGAGGAAUACCAGUGGCGAAAGCGGCACCCUGGCAUUGGCCUGACGCUCAUGUGCGAAAGCGUGGGUAGCGAACGGGAUUAGAUACCCCGGUAGUCCACGCUGUAAACGAUGAACACUAGGUGUAGGUGAAUUAAAUUUAUCUGUGCCGUAGCAAACGCGAUAAGUGUUCCGCCUGGGGACUACGGCCGCAAGGCUAAAACUCAAAGGAAUUGACGGGGACCCGCACAAGCAGCGGAGCGUGUGGUUUAAUUCGAUGCAACGCGAAGAACCUUACCUGGGCUUGACAUAAGCGUAGUAGUGAACCGAAAGGGGAACGAGCCUCGGCAGCGCUUACAGGUGCUGCAUGGCUGUCGUCAGCUCGUGUCGUGAGAU
rnacentral:rRNA from 2 species